CCUACGGGGGGCAGCAGUGGGGAAUAUUGCACAAUGGGGGAAACCCUGAUGCAGCGACGCCGCGUGAGUGAAGAAGUAAUUCGUUACGUAAAGCUCUAUCAGCAGGGAAGAAACACUGACCUUAUGGUCAGCAGACGGUACCUGAGUAAGAAGCCCCGGCUAACUACGUGCCAGCAGCCGCGGUAAUACGUAGGUGGCAAGCGUUAUCCGGAUUUACUGGGUGUAAAGGGCGUGUAGGCGGGAGAGCAAGUCAGAUGUGAAAUUCCAGGGCUCAACCCUGGAACUGCAUUUGAAACUGUUUUUCUUGAGUGAUGGAGAGGCAGGCGGAAUUCCGUGUGGAGCGGUGAAAUGCGUAGAUAUACGGAGGAACACCAGUGGCGAAGGCGGCCUGCUGGACAUUAACUGACGCUGAGGCGCGAAAGCGUGGGGAGCAAACAGGAUUAGAUACCCGUGUAGUC
rnacentral:rRNA from 1 species